rnacentral:rRNA from 1 species
AGUGAACGCUGGCGGUAGGCCUAACACAUGCAAGUCGAACGGCAGCACAGUAAGAGCUUGCUCUUACGGGUGGCGAGUGGCGGACGGGUGAGGAAUACAUCGGAAUCUACUUUUUCGUGGGGGAUAACGUAGGGAAACUUACGCUAAUACCGCAUACGACCUACGGGUGAAAGCAGGGGAUCUUCGGACCUUGCGCGAUUGAAUGAGCCGAUGUCGGAUUAGCUAGUUGGCGGGGUAAAGGCCCACCAAGGCGGCGAUCCGUAGCUGGUCUGAGAGGAUGAUCAGCCACACUGGAACUGAGACACGGUCCAGACUCCUACGGGAGGCAGCAGUGGGGAAUAUUGGACAAUGGGCGCAAGCCUGAUCCAGCCAUACCGCGUGGGUGAAGAAGGCCUUCGGGUUGUAAAGCCCUUUUGCUGGGAAAGAAAAGCAGCAGGUUAAUACCCCGCUGUUCUGACGGUACCCAAAGAAUAAGCACCGGCUAACUUCGUG